rnacentral:rRNA from 1 species
GACGAACGCUGGCGGCGUGCCUAAUACAUGCAAGUCGAACGCACUCUCGUUUAGAUUGAAGGAGCUUGCUCCUGAUUGAUAAACAUUUGAGUGAGUGGCGGACGGGUGAGUAACACGUGGGUAACCUGCCCUAAAGUGGGGGAUAACAUUUGGAAACAGAUGCUAAUACCGCAUAAAACCUAACACCGCAUGGUGUAGGGUUGAAAGAUGGUUUCGGCUAUCACUUUAGGAUGGACCCGCGGUGCAUUAGUUAGUUGGUGAGGUAAAGGCUCACCAAGACCGUGAUGCAUAGCCGACCUGAGAGGGUAAUCGGCCACACUGGGACUGAGACACGGCCCAGACUCCUACGGGAGGCAGCAGUAGGGAAUCUUCCACAAUGGACGAAAGUCUGAUGGAGCAACGCCCGCGUGAGUGAAGAAGGUUUUCGGAUCGUAAAACUCUGUUGUUGGAGAAGAAUGUAUCUGAUAGUAACUGAUCAGGUAAGUGACGGUAUCCAACCAGAAAGCCACGG